rnacentral:rRNA from 1 species
CACGUAGGGCGCGAGCGUUGUCCGGAAUUAUUGGGCGUAAAGAGCUCGUAGGCGGCCUGUUGCGUCCGCUGUGAAAGCCCGGGGCUUAACCCCGGGUCGGCAGUGGAUACGGGCAGGCUAGAGGUAGGUAGGGGAGAAUGGAAUUCCCGGUGUAGCGGUGAAAUGCGCAGAUAUCGGGAGGAACACCUGUGGCGAAAGCGGCUCACUGGACCAUAACUGACGCUGAUGCACGAAAGCUGGGGGAGCAAACAGG